rnacentral:lncRNA from 1 species
UUCUCCUGCAGCAGGGACACCAUCUUCUCCUCCAGCUCCUUGCGGCGAGCCUCAGACUUCUCCAGUGCAUCUUUGACUCGCCCAAACUCCUCCUUCAUGUUGGCCAUCUCCUUCUCCGUCUCUGCGCUCUUCAGCAGCGGUUUGAUCUUGAAGUAGAGCUUCAUCCAUGGCCAAUUCUUGACCCCCAUGAAGGCCCGAAUGUUCCACUGGAUAACCAGCAGGGCAUCCCUGACCAGAAAGAGUGCAAUCAGGAAGAACUCUAGAAAGAAGUCUCCUCAGGCAUGGGACCAGUUGCCCUGGCCUCCUCUGUCUGAGCAAGUUUGUAGGCACAAAGGACAAGGGGCAUUGUAGCCUCACUCCUUAUGAUUUCAACAAAAGUAUGGUAUGCAUUCCUCUACUGGGGCAGCAAUAGUAACAGAAGCCACUGAGAGGUCUACCUGUUCAGUGUUCAUUUUUGGGAUACCUUCAAAUACAGACUAUGUAGCAUUUUACAUCUCAGAAUGCUACAAAAUAACUGCUUGGGAGCCCACCAGCUGAGCAGGAGAUGGAGCAUUCAACUACUGAGCUGCAAGUGGGCUCCUUUCCACCUUCUCUGGCCCUCAACUAGAAGCAGCCACUGCUAUUAAACUUGUUUUUAAUUUUCUUACUUAAAAAUUAUUACUAUUUUUUGGCAGGGUGUGGUAGUGUAGAUUUUUUGUGCUUGUCAGCUGUGGUUCGAGGUUAGCCUGGUCUACAUAGUAAGCUCCAAGCCUGCCCUGCCUAGAUAUGUAAUGAGACACCCAUCUCAGUUUUUCUUUUUUUAAUUUGUGCUUGUGCGUGUGUUUUAUGUAGGCACACACAUGUGAGUAUACAUGGGUACAUGUGUGCCUAGAGACCAGAGGAGGACAUGAGCUGUCUCCUUCUGGCGUUCUCUGCCUUAAGGCACUGAACCUGGGGCUUGCUGUUUCCGUUAGGCUGGUAUGCAGGGAGCUCUACUGACCCUGCUCUCUCUGCCCCACAGGGCUGGGGUUAUGGAUUGGGCAGCUACACUCAGCUUUUCAUGUGGCUGCUGGAGAAGGAGCAUAAGAGUUCAUGUUUGCACAGCAAACCCUACCUGAGCCAUUUCCUUGGUUCCUCAAUUUUUUUUACUUCUUUUUUUUAAAAAAAAAAGUGUUUUAGACAAUAUGCAAAGGUCACUUUAAACAAUGAACUUCUGUUGUCAUGAUUUCUGAGCUUCAUAGAUAAAUACUGUGUCAUACUG